rnacentral:rRNA from 1 species
AAGCCUGACGCAGCGACGCCGCGUGGGUGAUGAAGCCCUUCGGGUCGUAAAACCCUGUCGGGAGGGACGAAACCUCGGUGACUUAAUACGUCACCGACCUGACGGUACCUCCAAAGGAAGCACCGGCUAACUCCGUGCCAGCAGCCGCGGUAAUACGGAGGGUGCAAGCGUUGUUCGGAAUCACUGGGCGUAAAGCGCGUGUAGGCGGCCUCUUAAGUCUGGUGUGAAAGCCCGGGGCUCACCCCCGGAAGGGCACUGGAUACUGGGAGGCUAGAGUCCCGGAGGGGAGGGUGGAAUUCCUGGUGUAGCGGUGAAAUGCGUAGAUAUCAGGAGGAACACCGGUGGCGAAGGCGGCCCUCUGGACGGCUACUGACGCUGAGACGCGAAAGCGUGGGGAGCAAACAGGAUUAGAUACCCUGGUAGUCCACGCUGUAAACGAUGGGCACUAGGUGUCCGGGGUAUUAACCCUCGGGUGCCGUAGCUAACGCAUUAAGUGCCCCGCCUGGGA